CAGCUCUCCCUGCAGCCUUCUCUUCUCCACCUGCACAGCCCCAGCUCUCAGCCUGUCCUGUAUGGGGCUCAUAGGGAACACCCCUAUUCGCAAGAAAUACGCUACGCUGACCCACUCCAGGAUAAUCCAACUUACCUUUUCUAAUAUAUCUUUUGAUUCCUUGGUAAUCCAGCGUGGGUAGUGAGGUGUGUCCAUGCGGAUCGACUCAAACAACUCAUCUUCAUCAUCCCCAUGGAAAGGGGACUGCCCAAUGAGCAUCUCGUACAGCAGGACCCCAAAUGACCACCAGUCCACAGAGAAUGUGUACUUCAAGCCUUGCAGAAUCUUGUCCCAUGAAAAGAGUACAGGGGAAGAAACGUGACUAAUUAGCAAAAGGCAGAAGUGUGUGCCAAAAAACCAGAAGUGUGAGUUUAAGAGGAAUCUUUAAUAACGAGCUUAUCUGGGGAGGUGGAAAAAUCCAGCUGUCUGACAGGACUGCUGACACUGUAGCACUAUGCUCAGCUGCUGCCUGGAAGCUCAGAGGACACAACUUUGCUCUCAUUCUCAAGUUUUCUCCAUUAACUUUAAAUGCCACAUUCUUGGAACCAUCUACUCUGGUUUCAUUACAAAGUAAUAAACAGGGAAUGGAGGAACACACAGCAAUGAAAGCAGAUUAUUAACCAACAGACUUUGACAUGUACUGCUUUUAAUAGCUAACCACCUUAUUUGACUAUCAUGCAACUCAGAUAAGAAACCAGCUCUGAACACAAGGAAUUUAACUGUGAGAGUCUCCUCAGAAGCCAUUUUUCUUUGAAUUUUGGCUGUUUACAUGGGUGCAUGUCUGCACACAUUUUGCAGGAGCCCUGCAUGUAAGGCAAAAGGGAAAGCUACAGAUUUUCAGCAACUGAAAAAUUUACAUUUUAGAAGAAAAAAAAUCGGGGUUUUGUAAAGUGCAGAUAGAGAACACUUACAAAUGUUAUGAGCCUUCCACAGAAAAGCUCAGAUUUAAUGUUUUUCUUAUGCUAAUUAGACUACUUUGUUUUUUAAACAGUUUUGAACUGCUUUUCUUAAGAGGGAAGAAUAACCACAGAGGCCACUCAAAUAUGGGUGCGUUAAAUCCAUUGCAGCAGUGUGUGGCACUGAUGUACUCACCUCUGGAGCAAUGUAGUCUGGGGUCCCACAGAAAGUGCUUGCCUUGUUCUCACCAACUACAUUUUCUUUGCACAUUCCAAAAUCAGCUAUUUUGAUGUGGCCUUCUUUAUCGAGCAUAACAUUGUCCAAUUUUAGGUCUCUGCAAAAGGGGGAUAAAAGAAAAACAGCAUGUUUGAAACACGAGUGAAUCAUUUUUGGAUUCAGAUGUAUGCGUGUUCCUCCUGGCUAAGAACAGCCUUCCCUACAUCACACAAAGAGGCUUUUUAAAGAAAUAAUCAUCCAUCAACACAGCAUCUAUGAGUAGUAACUCCUGUACUUUGAAGAUGGUAGGGAGAGAGGAAGACUUCUCCUCAGAGUAAGAAGGAGGCUGAGGUGUCCAUACAAAGUGAUCGUAAAAUCCUCACCAUGCUUCCAUGUCCAGAACCACUCAGUGCUUCGGUUGCCUCUGGAAGGAGGUGUGAGUUAAUGCCUCACCACUAACAGCAGUGCUGCACCGACUGUGAAACUCAGAGGAAAAGCUGUCAGAUGCCAGGAGUGUUUGCCACAAGCACCAAUGUUCGAAGGCUGCCCAAUUUUAGUACCACCUGUGACUUGUUCCUAGUCACAGCACAAGGCACUUUGCGUGCUGUGGCCCACUGUGUGUGACAUGCCCUCUUGGUGCCUUUUCUCAGAACUGCACUCCUCACGCAGCAAGAGCCUUUUUUAACAGCAGUUUCCAAAAGCUACAUUCCCUCCCUUUGACUGCAAUGUGUUUUUUUGUCCAUCUGGCUGCAAAAGCACAUACCGAGGAGAGCAGGCUGGAGAGAAACCAUGCAGCCCUUCUGCUUACCAAGACUUGAGCAGAUUUUACAUGAGAACAGGGCAGUCUUUUCUCCCCAGGAGCUUAAGCUUACAUUAUCAGCUACUUACACUGUCACAAGGGUGAGCUGCAGGAUGAACCAGAGGAGUGAGCUGCAGUAGGAACCAAGAGCCCCUGCUCAAAUGCAAGGCACUGUAAAUCCUUCUGUGUUUGGGCUGUUCACCUGAGUAAGUUUCUGAGACAGGGAAAGCUCACUGUAACGUAAGGCACUGCUCUUAUCUAUCUGCAAGUUCUAAAAUCAUCUGCAGGGGUGAGAGGGGUUCACUGACGUGCAUCACCUACCUAAAACUGCUCCAGUUGGGUUCUGUGAUUACAUUGGUCAACUUCCUAUGUGUGAUGGGGAAGAAAAGUGCCUUUGGUUUUGCUGAUGUCCUGUUGGUAAAUGGUACUGUUUCUCUGAAAAUAUUCCAUACUCUGAAAUCUCCCUGUAGGAGCACUAAUUUAAUGUAGGGACAUUUAUAAGCAGGCCUGGAAAUGCUCUACAAAACCUGGGAUGGAAAGAUUUCCUGCUGAUAACAGCAUGCUCCAACAGGUGUUUCUUUACAGCAGUAAAGGGAGAAGGUCACUACUGGACAUCUCUGCACGUACCUGAGGCCAUGCACAACUUGCUCUCAAACACACAGAAGUUGUCUGCUAGAGAUAAGAGCUGCCUGAACAGGCAGCUACCAAACAGUGCUUCAGAGACUUAGGAUCCCUUGUCAUGUGGAUAUGUACAGUAAAAAGCAUCUGAUGAGCAUCUGGUUCCUGAUAUUUGCACCUGGUGAGGCAGAAGCAUCGAUCCUGUGGCUUCACAUAGAUGGCAAAAGCAGACGACUUUCAACCUCUGUGAUUCCACAGGGCUGGCAGGAACUGACACCCACAGGGACCCUCACCACUGCCACUGAACUGGAAAGACUCGUGAUUUGAAGGGACAGUUUAAAAAUAACAGACAAAAUUGCUUUUGUGUAACAUAAAUAACAUUCCAUCAUUCUGGUUGCCAAGGAAAAGACACAAAGAUACAGAAUUCAUCUCAGGCAUCUUAAUGCCCUUGGAAUAACAUCAAAUGUCUGACAGAAAGCCUUUACUUGUUACAUCAAUCAGUAACUCAAAGAGGCAUGAAAUGCUAAGGCAUUUCCUAGUUCCCACGCUGGAACUGGAUGGCACUCACCUAUAAAUAAUGCCUUUGCUGUGAAGAAACUGUAGCCCACAUAAAAUUUCAGCUCCAUAAAACCUGAAAAAACCAAAACGCCUUUCAGUUUGUCUUUCCCAGUUAAAACAUGAGACAAUGCAGCUGGCCAAAAGAACUAACAUAAAGCUUCAUGAAGUGAGAAGUGUUAUACGUUCCUUUACAUACUCAGAAGGAGCAAAGCAAUGUUUAAUGUUAGGCCUGUAUUUAUACAGAUGGAUGUUAUGAUCUGCGAGUUAACCUUCACCACACAGCUGUGAUGCCAAACAGUGGGGACAGCAACUUGCUUUAAUUCUCUUUCAUUGUGGAAUGCUGUCCCUUUUCUACUCUCUAAUAGUUCAGGAUGUAUUUAUAGAGAAAUACGCAAACAGUCUUUGAAAUGCAGUUACUGGGAGCUUAAUACAGCACUGCACGGGGUGGUGAUGGGGCACUAAAGGCUACAUUUGAGACAGACCUCAAUACCUAUAUCCUUCUAUGCUUGGUCAAUUGCAGCACAGGCUGAAAAGAAGCACUGCUUCUGUUUCCAAAAGGAGGUGAUAAUCCAGGAUACCAAGGAAAACAUUUAAGGAAUGCUUUCUCUUCCCCCAAGAAUGUAUGCCUUUAAUCCAGUGAGCAUUUCCUCAGUACAACACGCAGUAACACCAGGCAUUUUCUUGUCCAGUUAUACAAUAGCACUGGUGCUUCUGGGUACCCCAUGCUGUUACACUGGAGAUUCUCCCAUUCAAUGACACAAUUACAGGCAUUCUGCUGGGUGAGGUAGUUAAAAACUGACCUAAAACUAAAAGUUACAGUUGGGGUAAUACGAUAUUUUUGCAUCUUUUAAAGUCUUCAGCUCCAGUUAUCUUUGCCAUAGGUUACUGACAGAAUCACUUUCCUAUUUUUACAAACAUUUUGUGUGAAGUGCAUGCUAUCCUCCUGUACUAGUGAUUUUAUUUACUAGAUUCUCCCAGCCUCCUCCAAUGCUGUUUUCUUAUGAAAUCGUUUUUUUCCAUGGAAAUACUCUCCUAGAGAACACUAAUGCUGUACUUUUUCAUUGCUGGCGUAUGUUGUGGCUUACCUAGCAUCUUCAUGUACAGGCAUCCCUUAAAGCAAAACAUGACAGUGCUUUGUAAAUGUUAGAACCAGAAGCAGAAGAACCAUAAAGCAUGCAUGGAGAUUGGGACUGAAGCAUUGUGGACUUACGUUGCUCUGUAGAGAUCGAAACGCCCCUUGUCUUGUAUGUGAAACAUCAGGUCUCCCCCAUUCAGGAACUCCAUAACAAAAAACAGGUGAUCCUGUUUGCAGAUAAUCAGAGAACAGAAACAUCACUGAUGCCAUUGUGUACACAGUAAGUAGCAAUGUGGCUCCUGGGUACCAAGUGGCCACAUUCCUCAUAUCCUGAAAUAUUUACCUGUUUUGUGCACCCCUAAGAGUUGCUAACGAUUUGAAUAGCAUGAUCUUAUGAGGUUGAGGAGCUCAUUGUGUAUUCUGUGGGCUUCUAGAUUUAAUAUAAAUAUACAUUUAAACAGACUUACUGACUUCUGUCUGUCAUUACUGACAGUCAUUUUUGUUCCCUUCACUGAGGAUGAUAAAGCUAAGGUCAAGGCUUUACAUUAAACUGCCUCUUACUCCACUUUGUGUAGAUGUACUCAGAUCCCAUUCUGUUUUCCUCAUCACACUCACGUGUACUUUGCACAAGUCUUGUGAACUACUGCAGGGGAGCACAACAAGAAUGAAGCAAAGUUAAAUCCCCUCAGCUAUUCUCCCUUGACCGUUGGUAGCAGCACCCAUUCAGAGGCUACACGUGUUGUGUCGCUGCUGCCACUGGGUUUCUUUUCCUUACCUUUGUCUGGAACGUGCAAUAAAGGUGCGUGAGAAAUGGAUUUUCCCAUGCAAGUGCUAGGACCCGCUUCUCCACCAUGGUGCAUUCCACAUCAUCAUCAAUUAGCACCACAUCUUUUUUCAGAGCUUUGAUGGCAAAGAACUCAUUCUUUCCUUUCAGCUCAGCAAGCAGGACCUACAAAUGAAACGAAAGAUGAGAUUAAAGCAGGUGUAGGAAAGACUGCUGGUAAGGCAUCAGGUAAGGAAAAGUCAAGGGCAUUUACAGCAAGCGCCAUGACAACUAAACAACCACAUGAGUGGGAAGGAUGGGUGAGACUUGGGAAGGUGAAUCUGCUGGGCGUAGCUAAGAGGAGAUGGGGUACAAAGAGCAUGGAACACAGGCAGGGCAGCUGUCAGGGCAGUUUUUCUGUCUUGUGAUAGCAUAAAUAGAUGCCUGUUUCUUCAUUGGAACUGGAGUUUCACAGCCAACAGAGGACAGGCCCUGAGGAGGUCACACCACUGCUGCACACGACAGAGCAGAGGCAGACAGGAGUGGAAGGUCACGCUGCCUUCCCACGUAUCCCCUCCCAUUGCACUGAGUCCCUUUCUAUACAAAGUGUAUCAACAUGAAUUAUCCUUUUGGAUGAAGGGCAAUUCCUCUAAACUGGAUAUUAAAUAAUUCACAACCUGUUGUGCAUUAAUGAAUCCCUUCUGCUAUCUGACAGAUUCAGGUGAAGACUUUUUGUCUUUUUGACAAGGAUGUGUUCUACUGUGUUCUGUUAUAAUGUUAUCUACUUGAGUGGAUGUAAGACAGUUCUGGUUAACAGAAACAGCCCAUAGUACUGCAGAGACCAAGCAAGGCUGUCAGUUUAAGCUCUGUAAAUGUACUACAUACCUUUCCAAAACUUCCUUUCCCCAGUACUUUAUGGAAGACAAAGCUGUCAAUAUUGAAUUUUCUCCUGCUUGCAAUUCGUGAUGCUGGCUUGGCAGAGCUUCCCUCCCAGAGUUUAUCAUAUUGGCUGUUAUCUGCUAAUUCAAAAAGGAGGUUAAAGUUCAGUAUAUUUAGAAAAACUGCACAACUCAGAUCCCCUGCUAGGAAGUAGUGACACUAUUUCAAUUCAAUGACACCCUAUUUCAGUUCAUCUGCUGCUGGGACACUGGCCAAUCUAACCAUACAGGUCAAAUCACAUAGUUUACAACGAGUUUAAAUUACUCAAGAACAUCUGAUAACGUUGGAUUGGAAUCUGUGAUCAUUUCUGAUGCUGGGUUUAAGCAACACAUACAUUACGAAAAUGAAAGAGCCUAACUUCAUCACUAAGAAACAGAGCAUAAUUUGGAGAACAGGAGAGGAGAGCUUAGUCCUCCAGUCUGAGGAGAGAGGCCACAAAAAAUCUGGUUUGCAUCUGAUCAAAGAAUCACCAAGGUUGGAAAAGACCUUGAAGAUCAUCUAGCCCAACCACCUACCUAUUCCCCACUGAACCACGUCCUUCAGUACAACGUCUAAAUGUUUCUUGGACACCUGCAGGGGUGGUGGCUCCACCACCUCCCUAGGCAGCCCAUUGCAGCACCUGACCGCUCUUUUGGAGAAGAAAUUAUUCCAAAUAUCCAACCUGAACCUCCGUGGUGCAACUUGAGGCCAUUGCUUCUCAUCCUACUGCUGUUUCCUGGAAGAGAGGCCAACCCCCACCUCAUCACAACCUCCCUUCAGGAAGCUGUACUCCUCCAGACUGACCAAUCAUGGCUCCCUCAGCCACUCUCCAUAAAACUCACACUCCAGUUCCCUUACCAGCUUCACUACCCUUCUCUGAACACAUUCCAGGACCUCAAUGUCUUUCUUGUAGUGAGGGGCCCAAAACUGAACACAGUACUCGAGACCUCAGCCAGAGCUGAGUACAGGGGACGACCACCUUCUGCACCAACUAGCAACAGAUGAUGCUGGCUAAAAAGCACGAAAACAACAGCUAAAUUUGAUUAUAUUCUAAAAUUAAUAACAUAAUUCCUUGGAUCCCUACUGCACAGAUCUACCAUGUCACAACAAGACACUGAUGACAAUCACAAGAUGAUACUCUAUACACCCUGCAAGCUGCACAGCAUUUGAAGCAGGCAGAAAUCUCAAUGGCUGCAAUCCUGACCUAAUAUUCAACCAACCCACCUUUGCAAGAGGUUACUUGCUCUCUUUUGGCAAACCAGAACAAGUAUGAUAAAUAACAUGACACUCAGUUUCUUACUGGGCAUUGCAGCAGAACCAUCUCAGUGUAUAGCUGCGAAACUACCAUUUACUUCUUACUCAGCCUGGAGAUUUUCAUCUGAUACCAAGUCAGCUUUUUGUUACAAUUACAUCUGAAUAAAUAACCACAAGUUGCUAAACCCAGAUAUAUUAACUGCUAGAACUCUUUAACAGUAGUAAAAAAAUACAAAUAAACCCUCAUUCUGAACCUGCUGAGAUCAUUUAAGUGGGAUCUGGAAUCCUAUCUCAGCUGUUCAACCUCAGCUAGUGUUCUGGCUCUUGAACUCCACAGUUGACAGCAGUUGUCACUGCACAAAGGCUUCUUACAUACUGGGAACAAAGAAAGAUGGUUAACAACAUAUGUGACAUUUUGGGGGAGGUGGAGAGGUGUCAGAGCAGUGAGCUGCCCCCCACUGCCACUCAGGAACAGUGCCACAAGGAGAUAACACACAGGUGUCCUGCAGGAAAGGGGGCUUGCUCAUAGACUGAAAAAACACUGCUCUUGGCCAAGAAGUUAUUAAGCACUUUGCCUGGUCAGGUAAAAACUGUGUGUAUAUUUUUAACAAUGCUUGUUCAAAAGAUCAUCCAGCAGAAAGCAAUAAUGAAUAACUGAGACCAGCAGUUUGUGCAGUCUGGUGGGUAAAUGGCUGGAGGAAAAUAUGGUUGCUUUUCUCACCUGUUGUAUCCCCUCCUGGACCUCGAAGUUUCUUAUCAAAAUCCUGGUAAAUACCAACAUUUUCUACAGAUCCAGAAUCAGACCUUCGUGUGGACUUCUAAGGAGGAAGGGAACACUUUAAGCUCUACUGACACUGGUACUUCAGCAAUAUCUACAACAACAGCUGGUAAAUGCAGUGUGAUGGCAGUACAAUCUUUGCUUUUCAAUAAUUAACUCCCAGCACAUCUCUCCUGUAGAAUUCUAGUUCACAGGCUAUUUAGCCACACUUUUUCAGCUCAGCCAAUCACUUUACUUCUUUCACUGCAAGAAAAACAAUCGCCAGAAAUCCUGAGCAGUCUGUGUAGUUAUUUGCUGAAAAACUACAAAAGGUGACAAAAGGUUUGAAUCCACAGUGAAAAUAAUUGUUUGGUUUGAAUUUGCUGUAGGAAACUGUUCCCUGGACUUGUGUUGAUUUUUCUGAAAGAGGAGAUGGGAACCACUGCAGUUCUGGACACACCAGAGUCAGCGUGUGACAUCCUUCUUUAGCACAUGUAAAGGAAUUUGAGAGCUUGUGUUUGAAUCUCAAUUUCCAACUCAGAAGUCAACAGCAGUCUGUACACAAAGAACAGCCACACUGCAGCAGGAGACCAACAAGGUAACUUAUGGGGCCAGUGCUAAUUCCAGGGGCAUUUUCUUUCUGUAUGUAUCAGAUUAAUAAAAACUGAAAUCAUU